CUCGUAGGCGGUUCAACAAGUCGGUCGUGAAAGCCCGGGGCUCAACUCCGGGACGCCGGUCGAUACUGUUGUGACUAGAGUUCGGUAGAGGUGAGUGGAAUUCUCAGUGUAGCGGUGGAAUGCGCAGAUAUUGAGAGGAACACCAUUAGCGAAGGCGGCUCACUGGGCCGAUACUGACGCUGAGGAGCGAAAGCGUGGGGAGCAAACAGGAUUAGAUACCCUGGUAGUC
rnacentral:rRNA from 1 species